rnacentral:rRNA from 1 species
GACGAACCGUGCGAACGUUAUUCGGAAUCACUGGGCUUAAAGGGCGCGUAGGCGGGCGAUCAAGUCCGGGGUGAAAGCCCCCAGCUCAACUGGGGAAGUGCCUCGGAUACUGACCGUCUCGAGGGAGAUAGGGGCGUGCGGAACUUCCGGUGGAGCGGUGAAAUGCGUAGAUAUCGGAAGGAACACCGGUGGCGAAAGCGGCGCGCUGGAUCUCUUCUGACGCUGAGGCGCGAAAGCCAGGGGAGCGAACGGG